rnacentral:rRNA from 1 species
CUUUACUGCAGCCUGGAAUUGUGUUCGGGCUUCGCUUGCGCAGGAUAGGUGGGAGGCACAGAAGUUCCCCUUGUGGGGGGAAUCGAGCCAACGGUGAGAUACCACCCUAGCGAGGCUAGAAUUCUAACCCUUGCCCGUCAGCCGGGAAGGGGACAGUUUCAGGGGGGCAGUUUGACUGGGGCGGUCGCCUCCUAAAAGGUAACGGAGGCGCGCAAAGGUUCUCUCAGGCUGGUUGGAAAUUAGCCGUAGAGUGUAAAAGCACAAGAGAGCUUGACUGUGAGACGAACAUGUCGAGCAGGGUGGAAACACGGUCUUAGUGAUCCGACGGUGCCGCAUGGAAGGGCCGUCGCUCAACGGAUAAAAGUUA